GACGAACGCUGGCGGCGCGCUUAACACAUGCAAGUCGAGCGAAGCGGCGGACGGGUGAGUAACACGUGAGUAACCUGCCUUAGACCUUGGGAUAGCCUCGGGAAACCGGGAUUAAUACCAAAUGGUCUAAGAUGGACUCGCGUCCCAUUAGCUAGUUGGUGGGUAACGGCCCACCAAGGCGACGAUGGGUAGCCGGCAUGAGAGGGUGAGCGGGCACAUUGGAGCUGAGAAACAGUCCAAAAUCUACGGGAGGCAGCAGAGGGGAAUAUUGCACAAUGGAGGGAACUCUGAUGCAGCGACGCCGCGUGAACGAAGAAGGCUUUCGAGUCGUAAAGUUCUUUUAUAUGGGAAGCGGUACCAUAAGAAAAAGCCCCGGCUAACUACGUGCCAGCAGCCGCGGUAAUUC
rnacentral:rRNA from 1 species